GUGAAUCAUCGAAUUUUUGAACGCAUAUUGCACUCUCUGGUAUUCCGGAGAGUAUGCCUGUUUGAGGGUCAUUAAAACGAAUCUUUAACCAAUUUUUUUUGGUCAAAGUAAAUGAGCUCUCCGCGUUUAUAGCGGUAGCUUUAAAUAAAUGGUCAAGUCUCAUUUUAGUCGAGACGCGUAAUAAUAUUAUUUCGCGCAAUCUUCAUUAUGUGCCUAUCACUUUUUGAUGCAUCCAAAUUUGCUUUGUAUUCGCUCCUUCCACAUCUUUUGAACAUUACCUCAA
rnacentral:misc_RNA from 1 species